AUUGAACGCUGGCGGCAGGCCUAACACAUGCAAGUCGAACGAGCGGCGGACGGGUGAGUAAUUUCUGGGAAACUGCCUGAUGGAGGGGGAUAACUACUGGAAACGGUAGCUAAUACCGCAUACCAUCAGAUGUGCCAAGAUGGGAUUAGCUAGUAGGUGGGGUAAAGGCUUACCUAGGCGACGAUCCCUAGCUGGUAUGAGAGGAUGACAAGCCACACUGGAACUGUGACACGGUCCAGACUACUACGGGAGGCAGCAGUGGGGAACAUUGCACAAUGGGCGCAAGCCUGAUGCAGCCAUGCCGCGCGUGUGAAGACGGCCUUCGGUUUGUAAAGCACUUUCAGCGGGGAGGCGUUACUCGCAGAAGAAGCACCGGCUAACUCCGUGCCAGCAGCCGCGGUAAUAC
rnacentral:rRNA from 1 species